rnacentral:rRNA from 1 species
UACGGGGGGAGCAAGCGUUGUUCGGAUUUACUGGGCGUAAAGGGCGCGUAGGCGGCCAGCGCAAGUCAGUUGUGAAAUCUCCGGGCUUAACUCGGAACGGUCAACUGAUACUGCGCGGCUAGAGUGCGGAAGGGGCAACUGGAAUUCUCGGUGUAGCGGUGAAAUGCGUAGAUAUCGAGAGGAACACCUGCGGCGAAGGCGGGUUGCUGGGCUGACACUGACGCUGAGGCGCGAAAGCAAGGGGAGCGAACGGG